rnacentral:rRNA from 1 species
CGCGUAGGCGGUUUGUUAAGUCAGAUGUGAAAGCCCCGGGCUCAACCUGGGAAUUGCAUUUGAUACUGGCAGGCUAGAGUAUGGUAGAGGGAAGUGGAAUUCCGGGUGUAGCGGUGAAAUGCGUAGAUAUCCGGAGGAACACCAGUGGCGAAGGCGGCUUCCUGGACCAAUACUGACGCUGAGGUGCGAAAGCGUGGGGAGCAAACA